rnacentral:rRNA from 1 species
CAGCAGCCACGGUAAAACGAAGGGGGCUAGCGUUGUUCGGAUUUACUGGGCGUAAAGCGCACGUAGGCGGAUCGUUAAGUCGGGGGUGAAAUCCUGGAGCUCAACUCCAGAAUUGCCUUUAAGACUGCCGAGAUAGCAGGUGAGAGAGGUAAGUGGAAUUCCGAGUGUAGAGGUGAAAUUCGUAGAUAUGCGGAGGAACACCGAUGGCGAAGGCAGCCCCCUGGGCCAACACUGACGCUCAUGCACGAAAGCGUGGGGAGCAAACAGGAUUAGAUACCCGGGUAGUCCCUGUCUCUUAUAA